AGUGCCAUGGAGUUGAGUGUGGACUCUGGAACAGAGCUUUUCUCCUUGAUGGAAGAUAAAGGUGCCCUCAGCCGACCGAAGACCCCAAACAUUGUUGUAGAGAAUGACGGGCGUACCAUCUCACUUCAAGUACUGGAAUUUAAAACAAGUCUACUGGAGGCGGUUGAAGAGCUGCAUAUUCACAGGGAUGCUGAAACAAGAUAUGAGGAGC